rnacentral:rRNA from 1 species
GUGUCAGCCGCCGCGGUAAUACGGAGGGGGCUAGCGUUGUUCGGAAUUACUGGGCGUAAAGCGCGCGUAGGCGGUUUGCCAAGUCAGAGGUGAAAGCCCGGGGCUUAACCUCGGAAUUGCCUUUGAGACUGGCAGGCUUGAGUACGGGAGAGGUAAGUGGAAUUCCGAGUGUAGAGGUGAAAUUCGUAGAUAUUCGGAAGAACACCAGUGGCGAAGGCGGCUUACUGGACCGUUACUGACGCUGAGGCGCGAAAGCGUGGGGAGCAAACAGGAUUAGAUACCCUGGUAGUCCACGCCGUAAACGAUGGGUGCUAGAUGUUGGGGGCCUUUGGCUUCCGGUGUCGCAGCUAACGCGUUAAGCACCCCGCCUGGGGAGUACGCACGCAAGUGUGAAACUCAAAGGAAUUGACGGGG